AGGGAUCAUUACUGAGUGAGGGCUCACGCCCGACCUCCAACCCUUUGUGAACACGUCUUGUUGCUUCGGGGGCGACCCUGCCGGCACUCGUCGCCGGGCGCCCCCGGAGGUCGUCUAAACACUGCAUCCUCGCGUCGGAGUUUGAAACGAAUCAAACAAAACUUUCAACAACGGAUCUCUUGGCUCUGGCAUCGAUGAAGAACGCAGCGAAAUGCGAUAAGUAAUGUGAAUUGCAGAAUUCAGUGAAUCAUCGAAUCUUUGAACGCACAUUGCGCCCUUUGGUAUUCCGAAGGGCAUGCCUGUUCGAGCGUCAUUUCACCACUCAAGCCUGGCUUGGUAUUGGGCGUCGCGGUGGUUCGCGCGCCUUAAAGUCUCCGGCCGAGCUGUCCGUCUCUGAGCGUUGUGGACUUUUAACUAUUCGCUCCGGAGCACGGACGGCCGCGGCCGUUAAGUCUUCACUUAAGGUUGACCUCGGAUCAGG
rnacentral:rRNA from 1 species